rnacentral:rRNA from 1 species
CAGCAGCCGCGGUAAUACGUAGGUGGCAAGCGUUAUCCGGAAUUAUUGGGCGUAAAGCGCGCGUAGGCGGUUUCUUAAGUCUGAUGUGAAAGCCCACGGCUCAACCGUGGAGGGUCAUUGGAAACUGGGAAACUUGAGUGCAGAAGAGGAAAGUGGAAUUCCAUGUGUAGCGGUGAAAUGCGCAGAGAUAUGGAGGAACACCAGUGGCGAAGGCGACUUUCUGGUCUGUAACUGACGCUGAUGUGCGAAAGCGUGGGGAUCAAACAGGAUUAGAGACCCCGGUAGUCCCUGUCUCUUAUAC